rnacentral:rRNA from 1 species
GACGUUAGCUGCAGAAGAAGCACCGGCUAACUCCGUGCCAGCAGCCGCGGUAAUACGGGAGGGUGCGAGCGUUAAUCGGAAUUACUGGGCGUAAAGCGCAUGCAGGUGGUUUGUUAAGUCAGAUGUGAAAGCCCCGGGGCUCAACCUCGGAAUUGCAUUUGAAACUGGCAAACUAGAGUACUGUAGAGGGGGUAGAAUUUCAGGUGUAGCGGUGAAAUGCGUAGAGAUCUGAAGGAAUACCGGUGGCGAAGGCGGCCCCCUGGACAGAUACUGACACUCAGAUGCGAAAGCGUGGGGAGCAAACCAGGAUUAGAUACCCUCGGUAG